CGGCCCCUCCCACGGCUCGCAGAUCGACGUCGCGAUUGUGCCUCGGCCCUGGUUUCGAAGCACGAGACUGGGCUGGGUGUUCUUUGAUUACCCCCGCAGUAGCCUGAACUGGGUCGAAAGGCACUUUCAGUCUCGAGGAGCGCCGUCCGGAAAAGGAGACUCGUUGACAUGCAUAUGACUUGCCAACCUCCAGGCGAUGGCUGGAGAUUUCCCGGAAUUAGGACUGGUCUCCAGGUGACAGAAAUCAGUUCCCCUGGAGGAAGUGGCUGCUUGGGACAGCGGACUCUAUAGGAUUAUACCCUGCUGAGCUCCAUCCCCUCCCCAGAUUUCCAGCUCUUUCCUGACCUGGAGCUAGCAACCUGAGGAGGGCCCAAAAGGGUGCCCUGGCGUUCUUCCGACUGAGGGGAUUACUGCCUCUCACGAAGAUUACCGCACACCGCCAUGUCAGCUUUUAUUACCCUUAAAGGAUGGUGGUGGAGAGCGCUGUCAAGUCAUAGCUGGCUUACAGCAACCCCUGUUGGGGCUUUCAUGACAAGAGACUAACAGAGGUGGUUUGCCAUUUCCUGCCUCUGCUAUCCUGGUUUUCUUUGGAGAUCUCCCAUCCAAUUACUAACCAAGGCUGACCCUACUUACCUUCUGAGAUCCGGCUAAUCUGGGCUAUUCAGGUCAGGGUACUCUUCAAAGUUAAGGAGGAAGAAAGGCCUGGGGGGAGUUAUCUGUCAUAGCCUUUUUGCCUCUAGUCCACUAGACUGCCUUCCCCAGCCUUGUGGACACUUAAAAAUUUGAAAUGUGGUAAUGGAUCCUGCCACAAAUGGCUGCUUAUUGGGGCAGGGGCCAACCAUUCCAAGCAAAGCAUCCUUUGAUGCAGACAGCUGUUUGUGAAUGCCUCCCUGCAGGUGCAAAGGUGAUGUCUCCGAGGCUCUUCUGAAGCAGCCCGUGUGAAGUAGAAGAAAGCCAGGACUGUUUUGUUUUGUUGCACAGAAGAGAAGCAGGUGCCAUGAAUCAAAUCAGGAGCUAUUGUAGCCACAGUGGAUCACUGUACUAGGCAAUGUAUCAUGGUUUAAUUUGACCCAGUGCUCAUUGGAUGUUAACUCUCAGCCUGGAAUUGUUCUGUAAUAAACAAAAGUAUGCUGAUUGUCAAGUACAUAGCAGCCAUCACCACCAAGUUACCACAACCAGCUGAACAUAAAGCAGGUGGAGUUGUGACUGCAUACGCUGAUAAUGGCUGACUCCACGGUGUGGAAAGGAAGGCUAAUGCUCUGAAUUCUCUCCGGAGUAGUAUCCAGGAUUAUCACUUGGUAAAUGUAACAAUCCUAGGUGAUACGGGACAAUUGGAAGGUAUACAGUGUUAGGAGAGAGGCAACAAGAAAGAAGAAACAGCUCCACAUUGGCAGUGCUGUAUAAACAGAUCUUUUUAACAACGUAGUUCCUAACACUACUUAUAAUUUGGUGAUAUAAAGCUAACUGAUGCCUGUAUAUAUAUGCUUAAUUACUUGUGCUAUUUUUUUGUCAAGGUGUUCUUCCCAUCCACUUACCACAGUGGGUUCUGUCUUCUGGCUAGAGAGUCACAUCCAGAGGAGAAUAGCCUGCCCUAAGAUUUUUAUUUAUCUUAGUCAUUUAUACUGUCUCACCAAUGGGGACUAAAGUUGCUUACAUUGCAACAUUAAUUUUCCAAACUGUCUGGCAUCCUGAGCUGAGUGCUUCUAAGCGUGUGCAACAUGCCCUUCCCGGAGUGGAAAAAACAUGGUGGUUUCUGAGCAUGUUUCAUUUGGAUAUAGGAUUAGCUGCUUUGAAAAAUGGAGCUGUAGAAACUGUGUCUUGGACAGUCAGCAGAAUGCUUUUGCCCACUGAUGGGAAACAGCCUAGAAAAAAACAAAACAAAGGCAAAGCCGCCCCCACUGAAGUGUAUAAUCACAAAACGUAGCUGCACAAAAAUAAGCAAGAACGCCAAACCAUUUUUUUUUCUUGGCAACUCGGAGGAUGAAACUGCUCGCAUCUGGCAAUUAGUCUCACCCCCCUCCCCUGGUAAACCAAGAUGUUAAAAAAAAAACCUCCUGGCGCCUUGCCUGUAGAAGUUCUGCUCUAUCUCACUUUCAGUUUCUGGUGCUAAAAGAAGAAAAGCCCACAAAGAAGGACAAGGAUCUGAUGGAUGAAAUAUAUAGGAAGCCCUUACCAGGGCAAGCUGAACUUGCCUGCCACAGCACAUGGAAUCUCCCUCUAGAAUCUCCUCCCUCUAGAAACCACGGAUAGUCAUCAUGACUAGUUUCUGGACUGGGUUCCCUAUCAAUUUGUAUGUAUGUACACUUGCAUAACUCUCUUAAUAAACCUGGAACUACUUUUCUCUAGA